GGGACGGGGAGGCGCCUCCCUGAUUGCGUUCCAGGUGCACCUGGUGCUGCUCCGACGGGAAGUUUCUGUGCCUGCACAAAACGGGUUCCUGCCCGGCGGUGCGGCGAGAAAACGGGCUUUGUGCGAAUGUUCAGCACUUGUAGCAGGCUCUGCCUUUGGGACCUGGACAGGUUCGAGAAGUGGGGCUGUCAAGAACGUCGUGAGGUUUAACAAGUUCCAGAAUCCAAAGGCCACUGAGACAGAGCAAACUCCUGCACCUUCAUUCAUCCUGUCUGGGAGUGAGGAGAUCAAAAGGUUUUCGAAGUUGUGGCCCAUCAUCUUUAUCCUGCACUAAUGGAGAAAUGAUUAGAGCCUUACCAAAGACUACUUACAAGUGAGCUCUUUGAUUUCACAGGUUUAUUUUUGUAAAGGAAAUCAAAGUGAAUUAGCUGAAAUAAUGGAUGUGCUUGCUCUGUGCCUGUAGUCACCUUUGCUUUUCCACACAAGACAAAGUGGAAUGGAAAAGCGGUGCAGCAAUAAUAUUUAUUUCCAACACUUAAUGUUUCACAGUUUUAUACAACAGGUGCAUUAUUUUUUUGUGCAGCAAAAGGUGUAGAAGCUACUCAGGCAUUAGAUGGUUUAGAGGCUUUUAAGGGUGUUACUGUAACAAUCUGUAAAUCAGGGAAGCUUGAUUGACUUUUUCAUUUAGAUUACUGAUAACCGGGAAUCACUGCCCUGGAACUGUGGUGGCUUUGGGGGUGUGAGCAGGGGAUACAAAGCAGCACGCUGAUGUUAAUUGAAGAUUGCAGAUAACUGGAAUUAGUUAAUAAAUGAGCUGUUGCUACAUUUUAUCCUUUCUGGGCCUCAAGGUUCAAAUCUGGAAGUCAAACUGUGGUAUUUGUGUCCGUUUUGAGGGAGGCUAAGGGAGCAUAUUUUCCAUUCAUGAAGAAAAUGCUGUUGCCAACCUUUCCCCAGGUGUUAACCAAGGGAGAAAUUAAUUCUCAGACAGAUUGGCACUCCUUAGUCUCAGUUUACAUUUAUACCUGUACUGAGACCUACCUCAGGCGGGAAACUCCAGAUUCAAUCAAAUGAAAGCUAAAGAAUUAUUUACAUAUGUUACAUAUUAAGUCCAUACAAUCCAUACAACAGCAAAAUUUGUUUUGAUGUCAGUGGAAAAAAGAGGUUUGUCCUGUCGUCUGAUGAUGAUGUGUAACAAAUAUAACACAACUGGUCCCAAGACCACCAUAAAGCCUCGCUGAUACUGAUGAGGGUCCAUAUUCAUUUUAUUGCUUCCCACAUUUUCAUUUUAAUGACAACCUGUUACAAAUAGAGCUAAUGCCACUAAAAUUUUGAUGGCCAGUAAAAAAUACUCCUAAUUCACCAAGCAUAAAUAUCCCAAUGCUGGGGGUUUUUUACAGCUAGGAAAAAAAUGGUAAUGCGAUAGGACUGUAAUAGUGAGAAAAUAAAAGAGUUUUAUUUUUCUCCUGCAAACAUAAUAUAAACUAUCCUGAAAAACAUUUUUCAAUAAACAGUAAAAUGUUCAAGCUGACAUAUUUUACAUGCUUAGGCAGAAUAUAUUUCUUCACACUGUGCAUGUAUGGUUUCCAUUUAUUAAGAGGAAACUGAAAAAUGCUUCUUUCCAUAAAAUCUGAAAGUUUUAUCACAUCCUUAUGUCAACUCCUGGGAUUCUCACCUUAUUUUUUUCAGUGCAUCCCGCUGCAUUGGAGGCGCUUCUCUUGGAGCACAGACACAUUCCUUUUCACAACAUUAAUUCCAGGAAAUCCAAGUGCAGUAUUUGGCCAUGGCUGAGAUUUGAAAUUCUUGUCACAGUAUCUUUUCAAAAGGAUGAAUGGAAACAGAACUGUUACCCUGCCUGAGACAGAUUUGCAAUAAAUAAAAGAUACUCUAUAAAUGUACAGAUAUGAUCAAGAUUAGUUUUAUAGUUAUUGCAUAUGAUUACACAAGGGGAAUGUUUGUUCCAUCUCAGUUAAAUAGCGCAGGGUUUUGUAAUAAUAAUAUUUUUCAUCAUCAGGCCUUGUAAGUAAAUACAACAUUUUCAGUCAAAACAUAUAAGUAGUUGUUGUGCACGCACAAUGCAAAUUCUUCUUGGAAAUAUUCCUCCCAGGAGAUGUGGAGAACUUAUAAAAAAUUUAAUAAAUAACUGCUUGGCUUUUCUAUUUCUAUUAAAUAUAUUGUGUUGAAGAUGUUAUUGCUUCCAAGCAGCUGCUCAUCAUCUAGUUUUGCUGUACAAUUUCCAUUUGGGGUGAAUGGCCUCUGUGCUCUCUAGAUCAUUUCUCUGAUGAAAACUGUCUGUGUUCCAGGUCUGGGUAUUCACAAAGCAAGAGGGUUUUGUACCUGAUGGAGAGAUGCUGUUAAUAAAUAUUCUGUUUUUACAAUA